rnacentral:rRNA from 3 species
GUACAAGCAGUGGGAGCCCUAUCACUAAGCAAAGUGAUAGAAAAAGGCACUGAGUCUUUUGUUUAACGUGCGGUUGGCGGAACGUAGUGACGCCCAACCCCAAAAAUAAACAGAGGGUGCUUAGUGAUAGGGUGACUGCGUACCUUUUGUAUAAUGGGUCAGCGACUUAUAUUAUGUAGCGAGGUUAACCGAAUAGGGGAGCCGAAGGGAAACCGAGUCUUAACUGGGCGACUAGUUGCAUGAUAUAGACCCGAAACCCGGUGAUCUAGCCAUGGGCAGGUUGAAGGUUGGGUAACACUAACUGGAGGACCGAACCGACUACUGUUGAAAAAGUAGCGGAUGACUUGUGGCUGGGGGUGAAAGGCCAAUCAAACCGGGAGAUAGCUGGUUCUCCCCGAAAUCUAUUUAGGUAGAGCCUUAGAUGAAUACCUUCGGGGGUAGAGCACUGUUUCGGCUAGGGGGUCAUCCCGACUUACCAACCCGAUGCAAACUGCGAAUACCGAAGAGUAAUGUCUAGGAGACACACGGCGG